GGAUGUGAGGGAGAUCCGGCUUUGGUUUACAUCAUCAUGUUGAUCAAUUAUCUCACUGGCCAGGAAGGUGGUCCGUGCUUCCUUAUUUCUCCAAAUGCAUCUCUCCCAAAGCUGCUCACGCUCCAGAAGGAGGUCAGGGCUUUGUUCAAGAAUAUAUGAGAAGUUUCAUUCCUCUAGCAGAGUCUCCAAAAAAAACACUUUUUGAAUGUGAUUAAAUCAACAGACUAGACCAGAACAUCU
rnacentral:sRNA from 1 species